ACAAAACCAAACAAUUAAAUAUAAUGAAAAAGUGAC
rnacentral:guide_RNA from 1 species